ACCACAGCUGCCCCAACUACAACAACCACAGCUUCCCCAACUACAACAACCACAGCUGCAGCCAUGUCAACACCUGACCCUCUUACCUAUGUCAUAUCAGCAACCUUGCAAAAUGAGAUCUUUACAGAUGAGUUGCUAAAUCGCACCAGCUCUCGAUUUCAAGCACUUUCACAAAUGGCUACAGGCCGUUGUAAUCAAAUAUAUCGAGCAAGAUUUGGUUCUGACUUCGACCAGUGCAUUGUGAGACAAUUCAGGGCUGCUCCAGCUCAACAAACACGAGUGGAUGGAACUGUGGUAGAGUUUUCAGUUGUGUUCAAUCGGUCUAUCCCCAAUCCAGCACUCCCAAUGAAUACUGCUGUUGCUCAAACCUUAGUUGAUGCUGCAAAUGAUUCAAACACCUUCAAUGUGACCUUUGGUGCCUCUUCAGUUGCAUUAGUAUCGGGUCCUGUUCCUGACCCUACAACUGCUGCAACAACAACAGCUGUAAAUACAAUUGCAUCAACAACAGCUGGAAUGACAACUGCUGCAACAACAAC